GGGCGUGGUCUAGGGAGGAGAGGGAGGAGCUCGCGGCCGCCUCCGCCUUCGCCUCCGCCUCCCGCGGGAGGGGGGUCGAGGGAGGGGACUGUUGCCGAUCUCUAGAUGUUCUGGGUAGUCUGAGGAGAGUAUGAGGCGAGCCGUGGCCCGGGUACCUCUCCGCUCCCGGGGAGAAGGCGCGGCCGUGGCUGCCGCCCUCUGAGUCGCGGCGCCGGCGAGGCCCCGGGGCGCGCGCAUGGUGCUGGUGCCGCUCGGGUGUUGAUCGGCCUGUCCCCUCCCUCUCUUCCCCUCCCCACCCCCCGCGGUGGUCUCCCCUUUCCCACCCCAGCCCCUGCGGAGCCAUGGCUCGGAGUGGCUCCUGCCCGCACCUGUUGUGGGACGUGAGGAAAAGGUCCCUUGGGCUGGAGGACCCGUCCCGGCUGAGGAGCCGCUACCUGGGAAGAAGAGAAUUUAUCCAAAGAUUAAAACUUGAAGCAACUUUAAAUGUGCAUGAUGGCUGUGUUAAUACAAUCUGUUGGAAUGACACUGGAGAAUAUAUUUUAUCUGGCUCUGAUGACACUAAACUUGUAAUUAGUAAUCCAUACAGCAGAAAGGUUUUGACAACCAUCCGUUCAGGGCAUCGAGCAAAUAUAUUUAGUGCAAAGUUUUUGCCGUGCACAGAUGAUAAGCAGAUUGUGUCUUGCUCUGGAGAUGGAGUCAUAUUUUAUACUAACAUUGAGCAAGAUGCAGAAACUAACAGACAGUGCCAAUUUACGUGCCAUUAUGGAACUACUUAUGAGAUUAUGACUGUACCAAACGACCCUUACACCUUUCUGUCCUGUGGUGAAGAUGGAACUGUUAGGUGGUUUGACACACGCAUCAAAACCAGUUGCACAAAAGAAGACUGUAAAGAUGAUAUUUUAAUCAACUGUAGGCGUGCUGCCACAUCUGUGGCUAUUUGUCCCCCAGUACCAUAUUACCUUGCUGUGGGUUGUUCUGACAGCUCAGUACGGAUUUAUGAUCGGCGAAUGCUGGGCACAAGAGCUACAGGGAAUUAUGCAGGCCGAGGAACUACUGGAAUGGUUGCUCGAUUUAUACCUUCUCAUCUUAGUAACAAAUCAUGCAGAGUGACAUCACUGUGUUACAGUGAAGAUGGUCAAGAGAUUCUUGUCAGUUAUUCUUCAGACUACAUCUAUCUUUUUGACCCCAAAGAUGAUACUGCACGAGAACUUAAAACUCCUUCUGCAGAGGAGAGGCGAGAAGAGUUACGACAGCCUCCAGUUAAGCGCUUGAGACUUCGUGGUGAUUGGUCAGAUACUGGUCCCAGAGCACGGCCAGAAAGUGAACGAGAACGAGAUGGAGAGCAAAGUCCCAAUGUGUCACUGAUGCAGAGAAUGUCUGAUAUGUUAUCAAGGUGGUUUGAAGAAGCAAGUGAAGUUGCACAAAGCAACAGAGGAAGAGGAAGACCUCGGCCCAGAGGUGGAACAAAUCAGCCAGAUGUUUCAACUCUUCCUACGGUUCCAUCAAGUCCUAAUUUGGAAGUGUGUGAAACUGCAAUGGAUGUAGACAUGCCAGCUGCACUUCUUCAGCCUUCUACAUCCUCUACAGAUCCAGUUCAGGCUCAGGCAGCCACAGCCGCCAUAGAAAGCCCUCGUUCCAGCUCGUUGCUGUCUUGCCCAGACAGUGAACCGAGGCAGUCUGUUGAGGCGUCUGGACACCAUGCACAUCAUCAGUCAGAAUUUUUAAGGGGGCCUGAGAUAGCUUUGCUCCGUAAGCGCCUGCAGCAGCUGAGGCUUAAGAAGGCUGAGCAGCAGAGGCAGCAAGAGCUAGCACAGGCCCAGCAUCAGCCUCCCACUUCCACUUCUGAUCCUCCUCCUCACGAGGGCUCUUCACGGGACCCUCGAGCUUCAGAUUCUCCUUCUUCUGUGGUUAACAAACAGCUGGGAUCCAUGUCACUUGAUGAGCAACAGGAUAACAGUAAUGAGAGGCUGAGCCCCAAACCAGGGACAGGUGAACCCGUUUUAAGUUUGCACUACAGCACAGAAGGAACAACUACAAGCACAAUAAAACUGAACUUUACAGAUGAAUGGAGCAGUACAGCCUCAAGUUCCAGAGGAAAUGGGAGCCAUUGCAAAUCUGAGGGUCAGGAAGAAUGCUUGGUCCCUCCGAGCUCUGUGCAGCCACCGGAAGGAGACAGUGAAACAAGAGCUCCUGAAGAACUAUCAGAGAAAGGAACACUUCCAGAAAACCUCACUCAAAACCAGAUAGAUACAGCACAACUUGAUAACUUCCCAGCUGAGCCAUUGGAUUCUAACUCAGGAGAGAAGAAUAACCCAAGUCAGGACAGCCCUUGUGGGCUUCCAGAAGAAGGCACUUUGUCUGAAACAGACAGGGAGACUUGUGAGCAGGCCAGCACUGAGAGUGCUACCAGGCAUGCUAGCACCAAGCCUGAACUCCCAUCCCAGACAGAAGCCAUUGAGCAGGCCAGCACUGAGAGUGCUACCAGGCAUACCAGUGCCAAUCCUGAACUCCCAUCCCAGACAGAAGCCAUAGCACCUUUAGCUCAUGAAGACCCAUCUGCCAGGGACUCUGCUCUCCAGGACACAGAUGACAGCGAUGAUGAUCCGGUCUUGAUCCCUGGUGCAAGAUACCGAACAGGACCUGGUGAUAGAUUUAAUAUCAGAGGAACUACAGUAGGUGAUAGAAUAAUGAGACGCUCCGCUGUUGCCCGCAUUCAGGAGUUCUUCAGGAGGAGAAAAGAAAGGAAAGAAAUGGAAGAGCUGGAUACUUUGAACAUUAGGAGGCCACUAGUAAAGAUGGUUUAUAAGGGCCACCGCAACUCCCGGACAAUGGUACCGGCUGCUCGUGGCAUUCUUUGAUGAGAUUGCAGUUCGUGGUUUGUCUGUGAUAAAAGAAGCCAAUUUCUGGGGUGCUAACUUUGUAAUGAGCGGUUCCGAUUGUGGCCAUAUCUUCAUCUGGGACCGGCACACUGCUGAGCAUUUGAUGCUUCUGGAAGCUGAUAAUCAUGUGGUCAACUGCCUGCAGCCCCAUCCGUUUGACCCAAUUCUAGCCUCAUCUGGCAUAGAUUAUGACAUAAAGAUCUGGUCGCCACUAGAAGAGUCAAGAAUUUUUAAUCGAAAACUUGCUGAUGAAGUUAUAACUCGGAAUGAACUCAUGCUGGAAGAGACUCGGAACACCAUCACCGUCCCAGCCUCUUUCAUGUUGAGGAUGUUGGCGUCACUGAAUCAUAUCCGAGCUGACCGUCUGGAGGGUGACAGAUCAGAAGGUUCAGGUCAGGAGAAUGAAAAUGAGGAUGAAGAAUAAAGAACUCCUUGGCAAGCACUUAGAUGUUCUGAGAUUUGUAUACGACAUUUAUUAUAUUUUUUUUCUUUACAGAACUUUAGUGCAAUUUAAGGCUAUGGGUUUUUUUUUUUUUUUUUUUUUUUUGGAGUUCUUCCCUAUUUUGGGGAUAACCAAACAUUGGUUUGGAAUGAGUGUGUGCAUGAGUUGGGAGAGUGUGUAAAACAAAGUAAGCAAAAUGUUUUUUGAAACCUUUUGCCGUGUAUGGAGUCCAAAAAAAAAAAAAAAAAAAAAAAAAAAGCAAAGUGCAAUACUUCCUGACCCUCCGCUGUGGGAGCUUGGAUCAAUGCUGAAGUCAUUUUCAUUGUAGUGAAAAUGUUGGUUCAAAUAAAUUUCUACACUUGCCAUUUGCAUGUUUGUUGCUUUCUAAUUAAAGAUGUUGGUUGCUUUAAGAUAUCCUAAA